CGGCGGCGUGCCUAACACAUGCAAGUCGUACGAGAAAGCCGGCUUCGGCUGGUGAGUAAAGUGGCGCACGGGUGAGUAACGCGUGGAUAAUCUGCCCUUAAGUGUGGAAUAACGUACCGAAAGGUGCGCUAAUACCGCAUAAUGCCUGGCAACACAAGUUGUCCGGCCAAAGAAGGCCUCUGUUUACAAGCUUUCGCUUCAGGAUGAGUCCGCGUACCAUUAGCUUGUUGGUGGGGUAAUGGCCUACCAAGGCUGCGAUGGUUAGCUGGUCUGAGAGGAUGAUCAGCCACACUGGAACUGAGACACGGUCCAGACUCCUACGGGAGGCAGCAGUGAGGAAUAUUGCGCAAUGGGGGCAACCCUGACGCAGCAACGCCGCGUGAGUGAGGAAGGUUUUCGGACUGUAAAGCUCUGUCGAGCGGGAAGAAGUGUACCAUGGCUAAUAUCCAUGAUAUUUGACGGUACCGCUAGAGGAAGCACCGGCUAACUCCGUG
rnacentral:rRNA from 1 species